rnacentral:pre_miRNA from 1 species
UCAGGGAGGGGGGUCCCUCAGCCUGGAUUGCAAGAGAGCACUGGCCAGGCUGAAGGACCCCACCAGUGCUCA